UAUCAGAGAUUUUCAGAUAGCCUCAAAAAC
rnacentral:piRNA from 1 species